rnacentral:rRNA from 1 species
UACAGAGGGUGCGAGCGUUAAUCGGAAUUACUGGGCGUAAAGCGUGCGUAGACGGUUAUGUAAGUCAGGUGUGAAAGCCCCGGGCUCAACCUGGGAAUUGCAUUUGAGACUGCAUAGCUAGGGUGCGGAAGAGGGAAGCGGAAUUUCCGGUGUAGCGGUGAAAUGCGUAGAUAUCGGAAGGAACAUCAGUGGCGAAAGCGGCUUCCUGGUCCAGCACCGACGUUCAUGCACGAAAGCGUGGGGAGCAAACAGG